rnacentral:rRNA from 1 species
UAGGGAAUCUUCCACAAUGGACGCAAGUCUGAUGGAGCAACGCCGCGUGAGUGAAGAAGGUUUUCGGACCGUAAAGCUCUGUUGUUGGUGAAGAAGGAUAGAGGUAGUAACUGGCCUUUAUUUGACGGUAAUCAACCAGAAAGUCACGGCUAACUACGUGCCAGCAGCCGCGGUAAUACGUAGGUGGCAAGCGUUGUCCGGAUUUAUUGGGCGUAAAGCGAGCGCAGGCGGAAGAAUAAGUCUGAUGUGAAAGCCCUCGGCUUAACCGAGGAAUUGCAUCGGAAACUGUUUUCUUGAGUGCAGAAGAGGAGAGUAGAACUCCAUGUGUAGCGGUGGAAUGCGUAGAUAUAUGGAAGAAUACCAGUGGCGAAGGCGGCUCUCUGGUCUGCAACUGACGCUGAGGCUCGAAAGCAUGGGUAGCGAACAGGAUUAGAUACCCUGGUAGUCCAUGCCGUAAACGAUGAGUGCUAAGUGUUGGGAGGCUUCCGCCUCUCAGUGCUGCAGCUAACGCAUUAAGCACUCCGCCUGGGGGAGUACGACCGCAAGGCUGAAACUCUAAAGUGAAUUGAC